rnacentral:rRNA from 1 species
AAGUCGUAACAAGGUCUCCGUUGGUGAACCAGCGGAGGGAUCAUUACAGAGUUGCAAAACUCCCAACCAUUGUGUACCCACCUCACCGUUGCUUCGGCGGGUGGCCCGCUAACCACGGGCUGCGCUGGCUGCCUCUCCAGGGCAUCCGGCACCCCGUCAGAAGCCCGAAACUCUUUGUCAUCAGUGGCCUCUCUGAGUAACUUAUACAAUAAGUCAAAACUUUCAACAACGGAUCUCUUGGUUCUGGCAUCGAUGAAGAACGCAGCGAAAUGCGAUACGUAAUGUGAAUUGCAGAUUUCAGUGAAUCAUCGAAUCUUUGAACGCACAUUGCGCCCGCCAGUAUUCUGGCGGGCAUGCCUGUUCGAGCGUCAUUUCAACCAUCAAGCCCCUGCGCUUGUGUUGGAGCCCUGCGGCUGCCGCAGGCUCCCAAAACCAGUGGCGGGCUCGUCGUCGUACCGAGUGCAGUAAAUUUACCACGCUCAGGGCGCGCGACGGGUGACCGGCCGUAAAACCCCCCAUUUCUCAAGGUUGACCUCGGAUCAGGUAGGAAUACCCGCUGAACUUA